GCGGUCCCUACCAAAUAUUGUCCACUCUUAACGAAAUCUGCAGAAGGGGUCAUGUACUAUAGUUUGGUUGCGAUCUGUCUUUACGUUUACAGUGACUUGACUGUAAGUGCUGCUCUCCAUCAAUUGCAAUUCAUUCAAAAUUUUGACCAACUUGCAAUUUGUUUUAUUUAACCAAAUUGUUCAACUGGUCAGAAUAUUGAACAAAUUGUUCAGUCAAAAUGUGAAAGUGCAAGGUAAUAAA
rnacentral:lncRNA from 1 species